AUUGCUUCUUGGCCUCUUGGCUAAGAUGAAGUGUAGUAUUUGCUUUUAGUAGUUGUCUGCUAUGGUCUGAAUCUGUCCCCUCUUCCUCCCAAAUUUGAAAUCCUAACCCCUUAAAUGAUAGGAUUAGGAGGCAGGGACUUUGAGAGGCGAUUGGGUCAUCAGGGUGCAGCCCUUAUGAACAGGAGUCAUGCCCUAAUCAAA
rnacentral:snRNA from 1 species